GCGCUAGGGCAGACUGCGUUGCUAGCAGCUGAGUGAAGGCCGAAAGGGCCAAUGGAAACGUUAGACGACGCUCGGGCCUCUGGGUAGAGCGUUGGUGUCCGCUUUCGUGAAAUCGAGUUGCCUAACCCAGAGCUUUCCCGAGAUGGUCUUCGUUACAGGUGUCUGGGAGGCGGCUUAAGCUCACUUCACUAGGUCAUUAAGCAUGUACUUUGGUGGUUACAUAUAUCUUGGAAGUCACCGGCUUUACAUUCUGUUUUCCUGGCCUUCGAACUGGAGCAUCAGUACUACCGCCGUUGGAAUAGCAACCUAGAGACUUUGCUAUUUUGUGAAGAAACUCUAACUAUCCGCAUGGGCACAGAAUUUUGGGUGCUCUGGUGCAAAUGUCUCAGGUGACUUGGCGUAACUGAGAAUACAGCCUUGGGACCUUCGUUCUGGAGGCUGGGAAGUCAAAGACAAGGCACUGGCAGAUUCCAUGACUGGAAAGGAGAGAAGGUCUCUGAGGAAGUGACAUUCCAGCUGAGACGUGAAGGAUAAGUAGAAACCAAGCAGAAGAAUUGGAAGAGGAAAGGGAAGAGGGAAAAGCCUGUGCCAAUGCCCUGAGAUUGGAAUAUGCUUUUUGUGUUUAAGAAAUUAACAGAAGGAGAAGCACAUCUCUGGCUGCCCUCAGUACACUAAGAGAAUCAGACCUCAGAGGUGGCUGCAUUUUAUUGUUGGGAAUAAGAAGACUGCAAUUCAGGAAGACAUAUAGUAGUCUAUAAGUGAUUCAGGACUGGAACUCAGUUAUCCUAAUUCCCUCUCGGAGGCUCUUUCCACCAUGCCAUCUGCUCGUCUGGUGCUUUCCAUCCAUGAACUCUGGAAAACAAGCUUGAGAUACCAAAAUUGAAAAGACAGCUCAUCAAAAAUGAAUAGUUAUAAUUCUAUAAGUACAAAAAUGAAAUACUCAAAUCUCUUGCCCCCCCUCCUGCUAGGAGCAUAAAUGUUAACCUGAGUUCUCUAGCUCUGUACAAAUCCACAGCAAUUAAGACUGCACUGUGAGGGAAAAUACUUUUCUAAAAAAGAAUCCUGAUCAAGUUGAAACAAAAAUUUUAAAACAUGAAAUGGAAGGAACGAAA
rnacentral:lncRNA from 1 species